UUUAGACUGAGGUUAGUGCAUCUCCAUUUGGACUGCUAUUAACUAUUUUAAACCUGAAAGAUUUUACAGUCUUAAAAUAGAUACGAAUUAAUGCUUUAACUGGAAUAUUGAUAAAAAGUGGAUAUUAUUAAGACAAGGCUUUAAGGAUCUCCAGAACAUAGUCAUGUUUCGGAUGAUUACUGUACUAUGCCUGGCACGUCUAUGUUCGGCAGCUACGGCCAUCAUAAACGGGACUGAGGUGGACUGCUCCGUAGACUGUGCUUGUUGUAUCGGAGGAAAUACUAGAUGUAGUACUGAUGCCUCAUAUGGAGAAAACUAUUGUAUGGAUGGCUGCGUUGACACAAUAACCGCAUACAGGUGCAAACAAUAUUGCCGCGGUAACUGCUAUGCAUGCAACCAUCAUUAUGGAAACAUCUGCAAAUCAUGCAAGGAUACAUUUUAUGAUUUUAAAAAAAACUGCAAUAAAACAUGUUCAGUCGGGUGUGUAGAUGGAAAAUGUAAUGAUGACGGAACCUGUAGUACAUGUACAGCGAAUUUUGAAGGAGAAAAAUGUGACAUUUGUUUACAAGGGAAAUAUGGCACAGAUUGCUCUUUGAACUGCCAUUAUCGGAACUGCCAUUGUACAAACUUGACUGGAUGUGAUUCAUGUAAAACUAAUUUUGAUGGUUCCUUUUGCAUGGAAUGUAAAGAUGGUUAUUACGGGGCAGACUGCAAAAUGACGUGUCCCAGCGGAUGUAGCGGUCGUAAAUGUAUGGGGAAUGGAACAUGUACUCAAUGCGAACAUGGUUAUUAUGGGGAACAAUGCAAAAACACUUGUUCUACGGGUUGUAGUGUUGGAGAAUGUUAUAGAAAUGGGACAUGUACAUGUACGAAUAAUUUUACGGGUACACAUUGUGACGAAUGUGUUAUAGGAAAAUAUG